ensembl:lncRNA
AGAAGUUUUGUGAAAAGAUGACCAAGGGUUUUGACGCUGAAAUAUUUACCUGCUGUCAACAAAACACACACGGACAAUGAAAUAUUAAAAUUACUUUAUUAUUACAGAUGAUUCUUUAUCGAGGAGCCCUCUUCCAACCAAAAAUAGUAGUUACAAACAAAAUAUUACAUUUACCCCCUAAUCUUUGUAUCUGUAAUUCUUUUAUACAUUUUAAAUCACUAAAGUCAUCUGUAGGAAUAGCUUCUCUUUUCUUCUAUGUGACAUUCAGCUUUUUGCACAAUCUAUACAAUUUAAUACAGUUUAAUACAGAUCUCUGGACCAAGGAGAAGAACAGCAAGAUCCACCAAGUGACGGAGAAUAACGGAAUACUGAUAGACUGUACACAAACGAGACCCCGCCUCCAAUGGACCAUCAGCCAAAGGUAGCAGCCCCUCAGCGGCGAGGUCAUCACAGUAGACUCUAGUCUGGUCAAUCACUUGUGCAAUGAGUGCAACUGAUCCAGUUCAGAGUGGCCAAGGUCUAAAGCUAGACUCUGCCCUGACUGCAAAAAAAUAACGCCAGGAGUACACGUAAACAAAAGAGUUGGGCUUAAGCCGCCCGGUCCUCUGCAGCGACAAAUGAAAAUAAUACAAACAUUUCUGGCUUUCAUGGGGCUUUCUUUGGACAAUGGAUAAAUUACUUUUUGACCAAUUUCAAUAGAAAAGGGAUGUGACCAUGAGUAAUUACAGAAACUCCCUGUUAUGUUGUCAAUAUGUAUUUAGCACAUACAACUAUUAUAUUAAACUAAAAUUUAAAAAAUACAAUACACUGAGCAGUGUAUACAAGCCAGAAAUGACAUACUGCCUGCAUUGACCCAAACGUUUUGCUGUUGCUAAAAUAACAAUUAUUCAACUGCUUAUAAAACGCAGCCACUGUUAAAUCAUAGGCUACAACCUAUCUCCAGUUUAUGUGCAAAAUCAUCCUCAACAUGUUAUCAAAAGUUGCCAUUUAUUCAAGGCAAUCGAACUUAGGGUUGUGUUGUCAAAUUUACAACCAGAAAAAUGAACACAUUUCUGAGCUCACAGUUUGAGUGAGCUCCCAGUGUCUGUAAAUGUUGGCUUAAAUCAUACUGUGCCCAUGUUACAAGCUUUGAUUUGUCCAUUAGUUUUUUCUUUUUUCAAGUUUAAAAUAUACAAUAUAGACAGCAUUUACAUGUACAUUCCACCUCCAAAUAUACAAUGCAUAACAUCUGCAUUUCACCAAACUUCCACCUUUAUCAAUACUCUAUAAACUUCUUAUAGAUUCAUUUACAUUUUUAUAGUCAUCUGUAUAGUCUCACGUGUAGAGAUGGGUGGGGGUGGAGGCCAGGGGUGAGACAGAGCGGGCAGUCAGAGCAGGGGAGGGCACUGGGGCAUGGCAUUGGGGAUCCAGCACCACCAUCACCGUCCAGGGUCCCACUGCAUCACGAGUUGUCCUACCAGAAAAGGGCCAGUCCUCUUUGGCGUUAGCAUAAUCAGUCAGCUCAUGUGCGGAGAUGGAUGAGUGUGCUUCUAGUAAACUAUUUUUCUAAUUUCACAUUUUGUUGUAGGUUUCAUAGACUACGAGUACUGGCUCUCUUCUGGACAGUGGAAACCCAAAAGCCGAGGUAUAGCUUAAUAUGUAUCUGUCUACAUUCAUUCUCACAUUCCUGGCACAAUCUUUUUGAAGCACAGCAAUACGUUGGCAAAAAAGCAUUUAUGGCAUCGUCACAACUUCAACCUGCACAGCUUUAGCAGAAUAAUAUCGAAUACCAAUGCAAAGCAGAGAUUAACUGCUGGUGAGAGCACUUGCUAUUUCUCUCUAGUCCUUGUUCAGGUCCUUACUUUGACCGUUUUUAUGAACCAAGAGCAUCUUUCAGUCGUUUCAGUAAUAAUAAACUUUGAACAAGCAUUAAAACACCACAGCUUUACAAUAUAAUCUAAUUUAUAUCACUGCACUCCAAAUACAAGGUUAAGUCUAGAAAAAUUGCAAGUGUACAGCAAGGCUACACUAUACUGGCAUUAUGGCAACAGAGAUGUACAUGGCAAAAGAACACCAAAAGCAGUUUGAGCUAGUAUUAAAACACUGGCACCUACAGCAAACAGAUGCAAGGCUUUCAGGUUUCCACAGGCUCGUGCUGACACUUUCUGAGGCAGAGGAUCAGGACAGGCAGCAUUUAUGUGAAGGCAGCUAAAAUUAGGACAAUGUCUCCUAUCCAGAAUAAGCUUUAUUUAGUAAAAUUGUAUACCUACUUGGGAAUUUAGUAUGUUCAAUGUUUUAAGAGGUACUUUUUGUAUAACUUUGGCUUUUAAUCAGGAU